UGGGGAAUAUUGCACAAUGGGCGAAAGCCUGAUGCAGCGACGCCGCGUGAGGGAUGACGGCCUUCGGGUUGUAAACCUCUUUCAGUAGGGACGAAGCGCAAGUGACGGUACCUGCAGAAGAAGCACCGGCUAACUACGUGCCAGCAGCCGCGGUAAUACGUAGGGUGAGAGCGUUGUCCGGAAUUACUGGGCGUAAAGAGCUCGUAGGCGGUUUGUCACGUCGUCUGUGAAAUCCUAGGGCUUAACCCUGGACGUGCAGGCGAUACGGGCUGACUUGAGUACUACAGGGGAGACUGGAAUUUCUGGUGUAGCGGUGGAAUGCACAGAUAUCAGGAAGAACACCGAUGGCGAAGGCAGGUCUCUGGGUAGUAACUGACGCUGAGGAGCGAAAGCAUGGGUAGCGAACAGG
rnacentral:rRNA from 1 species